GAUUAACGCUAGCGGCAGGCUUAAUACAUGCAAGUCGUGGGGCAGCAGGUCUGUAGCAAUACAGAUGCUGGCGACCGGCAAACGGGUGCGUAACACGUACGCAACCUUCCCGUUACUGGGGAAUAGCCCAGGGAAACUUGGAUUAAUACCCCAUAUUAUAUUGGUUAGGCAUCUGACUGAUAUCAAAGCUUCGGCGGUAACGGAUGGGCGUGCGGUUGAUUAGGUAGUUGGCGGGGUAACGGCCCACCAAGCCUACGAUCAAUAGCUGAUGUGAGAGCAUGAUCAGCCACACGGGCACUGAGACACGGGCCCGACUCCUACGGGAGGCAGCAGUAGGGAAUAUUGGGCAAUGGACGAAAGUCUGACCCAGCCAUGCCGCGUGAAGGAUGAAGGUCCUCUGGAUUGUAAACUUCUUUUAUCUGGGGCGAAAAUCGGUUAUUCUUAGCCGCUUGACAGUACCAGAUGAAUAAGCACCGGCUAACUCCGUGCCAGCCGCCGCGGUAAUAC
rnacentral:rRNA from 1 species